GCCUCGUGAAUUCAUCUCCGGGGGUAGAGCACUGUUUCGGCUAGGGGGCCAUCCCGGCUUACCAACCCGAUGCAAACUGCGAAUACCGGAGAAUGUUAUCACGGGAGACACACGGCGGGUGCUAACGUCCGUCGUGAAGAGGGAAACAACCCAGACCGCCAGCUAAGGUCCCAAAGUCAUGGUUAAGUGGGAAACGAUGUGGGAAGGCCCAGACAGCCAGGAUGUUGGCUUAGAAGCAGCCAUCAUUUAAAGAAAGCGUAAUAGCUCACUGGUCGAGUCGGCCUGCGCGGAAGAUGUAACGGGGCUAAACCAUGCACCGAAGCUGCGGCAGCGACACUGUGUGUUGUUGGGUAGGGGAGCGUUCUGUAAGCCUGUGAAGGUGUGUCGUGAGGCAUGCUGGAGGUAUCAGAAGUGCGAAUGCUGACAUAAGUAACGAUAAAGCGGGUGAAAAGCCCGCUCGCCGGAAGACCAAGGGUUCCUGUCCAACGUUAAUCGGGGCAGGGUGAGUCGACCCCUAAGGCGAGGCCGAAAGGCGUAGUCGAUGGGAAACGGGUUAAUAUUCCCGUACUUGGUGUUACUGCGAAGGGGGGACGGAGAAGGCUAUGUUGGCCGGGCGACGGUUGUCCCGGUUUAAGCGUGUAGGUGUGUGU
rnacentral:rRNA from 1 species